CCUAUUUCCGAACCUGGAUCUAUUUGAAUGUGAAUAGCAUCCUCUUCUUCUUCUUCAUUAAUCAAAUUGGGCUAAUUCAUCCUUCAUUAUUUCCAAGUAUAAGUCACCAACUUGUGAAUUGCACUUUUCGUUGAGAAAAGAUAGACUUGCGCAAGACACAGAUUUCAAGGAACAAAAAAUACAAAAGAACAAGGAAAACCUAAAAUUCUGGGAGAUGGUGAUCAAAAAAAUUUUGGGCUCAAAAAUUUGGUUUUUAGAGUGAAUGAUGACAUGGUUUGGCUGAUCGGAGAGGAAUGACUAGUGGAGAUGGUUCAGAUUGGGAGAUAUUUUGAGUUGGUGGGUUAGUUAACAGCAUGGUAUGAAUUUGGUGUUUGUCAGCUGAGAUAAGAUUAAAGGUAGAAGGUAAAGAAGUUUGAGUGGUGGAAAUGGGGUGAGAGCUAGUACCUUUGUUAAAACCUACAAUUAAUAAUUACUUAAGAAAAACAAAGUGCGUAAGUAGUGACUGAAGCGGCAAUGGGAGUGGGCACUUCAGAUGGCACUACAAUAAACAAUAGAAAAACAAUGGACAAGAAUUGUUUACACAGUUCUAUUUUCUCUAAUUCUAUGGAGCGUAGCUUAAUGAGUAAUUUUAUUAUCUCCACUACACCAAAACAGGCUUUUAGCGGUGUUUUUAGCGGCGUUUGGAUAAAAAACUCCGCUAACGAUCGAUCAUUAGCGGCACAUUAUGGAAAAUGCCGCUGAAAAUAAGCAUUAGCGGUGUUUUUGAAAAAGAGCAACAAAAAACCUAAGCCCAACAACGCCGUUUCCCGAGCUUUCGGGGAUUUAGCGGCGUUUCCAAGAAAGCGUCGCAAAAAAAUCUAAGCCCAACGACGCCGUUUUCUGAGCUUUCGGGGAUUUAGCGGCGUUUUUGGGAAAGUGUCGCAAAAAAACCUAAGCCCAACAACGCCGUUUUCUAAGCUUUCGGGGAUUUAGCGGCGUUUUUAAGAAAGCGUCGCUAAUACUCAGGGCUUUAGCGGCGCUUUUAGGAAAGCACCGCAAAAAAACAUAAGCCCAACGACGCCGUUUUCUAAGCUUUCGGGGAUUUAGCGGCGUUUUUAAGAAAGCGCCGCUAAUGCUCAGGGCUUUAGCGGUGUUUUUAGGGAAGCGUCGCAAAAAAACCUAAGCCCAACGACGCCAUUUUUUGAGCUUUCGGGGAUUUAGUGGCGUUUUUAAGAAAGCGCCGCAAAAAAUCCUAAGCCCAACGACGCCGUUUUCUGAGCUUUCGGGGAUCUAGCGGCGUUUUUAAGAAAGUGCCGCUAAUGCUCAGGGCUUUAACGGCGUUUUUGAGAAAGCACCGCAAAAAAACCUAAGCCCAACGACGCCGUUUUCUGAGCUUUCG
rnacentral:lncRNA from 1 species